rnacentral:rRNA from 1 species
GCAAAACAAGCAGAGGGGGCUUAGUGGUGGGGUGACUGCGUACCUUUUGUAUAAUGGGUCAGCGACUUAUAUUCUGUAGCAAGGUUAACCGAAUAGGGGAGCCGGAGGGAAACCGAGUCUUAAUUGGGCGUUAAGUUGCAGGGUAUAGACCCGAAACCCGGUGAUCUAGCCAUGGGCAGGUUGAAGGUUGGGUAACACUAACUGGAGGACCGAACCGACUAAUGUUGAAAAAUUAGCGGAUGACCUGUGGCUGGGGGUGAAAGGCCAAUCAAACCGGGAGAUAGCUGGUUCUCCCCGAAAGCUAUUUAGGUAGCGCCUCGUGAAUUCAUCUCCGGGGGUAGAGCACUGUUUCGGCUAGGGGGCCAUCCCGGCUUACCAACCCGAUGCAAACUGCGAAUACCGGAGAAUGUUAUCACGGGAGACACACGGCGGGUGCUAACGUCCGUCGUGAAGAGGGAAACAACCCAGACCGCCAGCUAAGGUCCCAAAGUCAUGGUUAAGUGGGAAACGAUGUGGGAAGGCCCAGACAGCCAGGAUGUUGGCUUAGAAGCAGCCAUCAUUUAAAGAAAGCGUAAUAGCUCACUGGUCGAGUCGGCCUGCGCGGAAGAUGUAACGGGGCUAAACCAU